UGCAAGUCGAGCGGAGUUGAUAGAGAAGCUUGCUUCUCUGAUGCGUUAGCGGCGGACGGGUGAGUAACACGUAGGCAACCUGCCCUCAAGUUUGGGACAACUACCGGAAACGGUAGCUAAUACCGAAUAGUUGUUUUCUUCGCCUGAAGGAAACUGGAAAGACGGAGCAAUCUGUCACUUGGGGAUGGGCCUGCGGCGCAUUAGCUAGUUGGUGGGGUAACGGCUCACCAAGGCGACGAUGCGUAGCCGACCUGAGAGGGUGAUCGGCCACACUGGGACUGAGACACGGCCCAGACUCCUACGGGAGGCAGCAGUAGGGAAUCUUCCGCAAUGGGCGAAAGCCUGACGGAGCAAUGCCGCGUGAGUGAUGAAGGUUUUCGGAUC
rnacentral:rRNA from 1 species